AGAGUUUGAUCAUGGCUCAGGACGAACGCUAGCGGCGUGCUUAACACAUGCAAGUCGAGCGGUAAGGCCCUUCGGGGUACACGAGCGGCGAACGGGUGAGUAACACGUGGGUGAUCUGCCUUGCACUUCGGGAUAAGCCUGGGAAACCGGGUCUAAUACCGGAUAUGACCACUGAAUGCAUGUUUGGUGGUGGAAAGAUUUAUCGGUGCGAGAUGGGCCCGCGGCCUAUCAGCUUGUUGGUGAGGUAACGGCUCACCAAGGCGACGACGGGUAGCCGACCUGAGAGGGUGACCGGCCACACUGGGACUGAGACACGGCCCAGACUCCUACGGGAGGCAGCAGUGGGGAAUAUUGCACAAUGGGCGAAAGCCUGAUGCAGCGACGCCGCGUGCGGGAUGACGGCCUUCGGGUUGUAAACCGCUUUUGACAGGGACGAAGCGCAAGUGACUGUACCUGUAGAAUAAGGACCGGCCAACUACGUGCCAGCAGCCGCGGUAAUACGUAGGGUCCGAGCGUUGUCCGGAAUUACUGGGCGUAAAGAGCUUGUAGGCGGUUCGUCGCGUCGUUUGUGAAAACUUGGGGCUCAACCUUAAGCUUGCAGGCGAUACGGGCGGACUAGAGUACUUCAGGGGAGACUGGAAUUCCUGGUGUAGCGGUGAAAUGCGCAGAUAUCAGGAGGAACACCGGUGGCGAAGGCGGGUCUCUGGGAAGUAACUGACGCUGAGAAGCGAAAGCAUGGGUAGCAAACAGGAUUAGAUACCCUAGUAGUCC
rnacentral:rRNA from 1 species